GGAGUUUCUACGAGGUAGCUUAAUUUUCUUUUGGGCCUUGACGAUGGCAGCACUAACAAUCAUUCAGGCUGAGCCUAUACCAAAAUACGGAGGUAAUGGCGUCCUGAGUUAUUUAGGAAACACACUGGGUUCUUAGGCUAUCGAAUCAAGAAGGAUGUCCGAAUAUGUUUCAUCUACAUAAAUAAAAAGCCUUCGUCAGAGUUUCAAUAAUCUCCAAAAGCAUCAGAAAUCGUUAUUAUUUGUAUUUUAAUAAAAAUGUAUGGUAUCUUCCAAAUUUGGAACUGUUCUCAGGAAUAAAAUGUUCAGAACGUUGCGCAUGUAAA